rnacentral:rRNA from 1 species
AGUUGGAAACGACUGCUAAUACCGCAUAAUGUCUACGGACCAAAGGGGGCUUCGGCUCUCGCCUUUAGAUUGGCCAAGUGGGAUUAGUCUAGUUCGGUGAGGUAAUGGCUCACCAAGGCGACGAUCCCUAGGCUGGUUUCGAGAGGAUGAUCAGCCACACUGGGACUGAGACACGGCCCAGACUCCUACGGGAGGCAGCAGUCGGGGAAUAUUGCGACAAUGGGCGCAAGGCCUGAUGCAGGCCAUGCCGCGUGUGUGAAGAAGGCCUUCGGGUUGUAAAGCACUUUCAGUCAGGAGGAAAGGUUAACGGUUAAUACCCGUUAGCUGUGACGUUACUGACCAGAAGAAGCACCGGCUAACUCCGUGCCAGCAGCCGCGGUAA